GCUGCUGCUCCAGACUCAGGGGCGGGCAGCCGAGGGAGGGAGGGGAGGGGAGAGAGCGAGGGGAGGAGAGGGGAGGGAGGUGGGGGGUAGGGUGGCUAAAAGGAGGAGGGGUUGAGCGAGGAAACGCGCACACAUGCAUGCAUACACGCUCAGAGACAGGCCCCGCCCCCUACCUCGUUUUUCCCGUAGCCUACCCUCAGCCUCGGACCUCCCUCUCUCUUCCCCUCCCACCUCCCCCUUCCUCCCUCCUGCACGUUGCCUGCCUUUAUUCAUGCUGCCACUGGCGCUCUCUGUAGUGU